rnacentral:tRNA from 1 species
CGGGGUGGAGUCUGACGGCAGGACACGCGCUUCGGGUGCGCGUAGACUGGGUUCAAUUCCCAGCACCCCGACCA